UACGUAGGGGGCAAGCGUUGUCCGGAUUUAUUGGGCGUAAAGAGCGUGUAGGCGGCUUUACAGGUCCGUUGUGAAAACUCGAGGCUCAACCUCGAGACGCCGGUGGAAACCGUAAGGCUAGAGUCCGGAAGAGGAGAGUGGAAUUCCUGGUGUAGCGGUGAAAUGCGCAGAUAUCAGGAAGAACACCCGUGGCGAAGGCGGCUCUCUGGGACGGUACUGACGCUGAGAUGCGAAAGCGUGGGGAGCAAACAGG
rnacentral:rRNA from 1 species